rnacentral:rRNA from 1 species
UACAGAGGUCUCAAGCGUUGUUCGGAUUCAUUGGGCGUAAAGGGUGUGUAGGCUGCUUGGCAAGUCGGAUGUGAAAGCCCUGGGCUCAACCCAGGAAGUGCAUUCGAAACUGCCGAGCUGGAGUCCUGGAGAGGAAGGCGGAAUUCUCGGUGUAGAGGUGAAAUUCGUAGAUAUCGAGAGGAACACCGGUGGCGAAGGCGGCCUUCUGGACAGUGACUGACGCUGAGACGCGAAAGCGUGGGGAGCAAACAGG